GAAGUGAGAUUAUUGGUUAGUCUUAGGGAGUGGCAAUGCCACUAUAGUUGUUGCUGCCUAAUGGCCAUGUCUGCAACUAUAACAUUAUUUUCUACUAAUAUGGAAGAGAUAAGCACUGCAUGACAUAGUCCAUUUGUUUUGUUAUGGCAUAGAAGAUGGGAAAAAACUAAAACAGAACAAACACAUAAGUAUACACGGAUUUACGUGGUUUGACAAUAAUCAUACAUCCAUGGGGAAAGAAUGACGAAACAAUUUCACUAUGAAUAUAGAGAUUACAAAAAGCUGGCUCUCUCUCUCUUUCUCUCUUAAACCUUAGUUGACAAGAUCAUAAUUCAUCCUAAAAAUCCAAAUUAACCCAAUAUAUACUAGAAUUUGAAUGUAGCAAACUGGGUCAAAAUAGACCCAAAAACACAAAUUCCGGGUCAGACCUUUCAUAUUAAUCAGGUCGAGCGUGCCACAAAUGGAUAGUAAACAUCAUCUGGAUUGAAUUCAAGAUGCACCCACAGCAUGUCUUUUAUGAAAUAUGAUAUAGGAACAGAACUUUUGUAGAGAAUGAUGUGAUUUCUUCUACUCUCUUCAUUUUCAAUCAAAACAUCCAUCAUUGGCCCCAUAAUUUCAAAAAUGUCAUUUACAUAUCAUUUUGGAUGUGAUUAAUGCUAUAAAUUUUAUGUUUGCAAAUUAUUUUCUGUCAUUUAUUUAUUAUUUUUCUGCUAAUCAAGCAGAAGUUACAUUGGCAUGCAAUGUCAAUUUUCAAGGACAUGAAUUUGAUAGCCAAUAUCUUAAUUCCUUGGUGCACUGUGAGAUAAUAUGCAAACCAGGCACCGGUGCAUAUAAUGCAAGAGGUUUCACAAAUCUGGGUUGUUCUGCAACCAGAAAUUGUUUAGGUUUCAAAUUUAUCAUCUAUUUAGUGAACAUAUGACACCACUAAUACGUAACUUUAACAAGUAUCUAAAACAUAUAUGGGUUGACAAGGAGACAAUUACCUCUAGCUUUUUGAAGGAAAUAGAUAAAUUUAACACAAUUGAAGCACGUGCCAAAAUCAUUCAAAAAAUUGACAAGAAUAUCCAAUAUUCAAUGAGCAAGUGUGAAUUUUGAAGUGAAGUCAACUUCCAAAGGUGAAGGCACCUUAGAGGUUUUAUAAAUUUUUUAACAAGUGGAAAUACAGAAGCCAUACAAUGAAUCGAUAUUUGAACAAGCACUUUGCAUAUUAUAAGGAACAUUAUGCUUUAUAGUAUAGUUUAUAUUUAAAAAGAUUAACCAGGGGGGAUGAACCAAUUCAAGAUGACUGCUAGAAUGAUUUACUUUUUAAAUUGAUCAACAUUAGUGAUUAGUAUAAUAUGUAAGUGUGAUAUUAGUAUAAGAAAAUGUUGGAGUGAGAAAAGAGUUCAACUUCUAGCAAUCCAAUCUUCAUUACAGCAGCCUUUUAAACUUAAUUGAUUUCAAAGUGACAAAAUCAAUCAUCUGAAAAAUUGAAUAAAUAGAGAAAAGCCAGCUAUCGAAAUUGAACAUCUCUUUCUUUUGUCGAAAUAAUAACGAUAUAAUGUUAUAAAAUAAUCUGGCAAGAUGAUAAAUGAUAUUUGGAUCAAUGAAAUAUAUGAAUAGGAAGUUUACAGUCAUAAAUAAAGAUAUGGCAAAUAAAUUAAUUAGACUAUUGUCUUAAAGAAAAUAAAAUAACAAGGAAAGUAGACAUAAAAACAUGGAGAAGAAUCUUCAAAUUAAAAACUAUAUAUUUAUUCUAGGUGCACUAGACUCUCACCACUACGAAGUUUGAUAAGAGUUAGAUAUUCGUAGUCUUACCCUAGCAUGUAGAGAUGUUUUUGUGGUUUUAACACCUAAUGCCCAGGCAUUCUAGAUCUGCUCCAAGAUUUCUUCAAGGCAAGCAAUUUAAUGUAGAGUAUUUUAUGAAUAUUCUAUCAAGAGGUACCUAGGGUUUCCAUGGACAAUUUACUAAACAAAGAUAGGAAACCAAUUAUCAGGAUACAUAAACAUGGACCAUUUAUGCUAUUGUUUUUCGUAGGUUCGAGCUAAACACAAGGAAGUUUGUCUUCAAAAAGAUAGUCCCCUGGGAGAAACAAUCCUUGUAUGUUACAAUUGUGGUUGUCGAAAUGCUUUCCUUCUUGGAUGCAUCUCUGCCAAGACAGAGAGUGUUGUCGUUCUUUUGUGCAGAGAGCCUUGUCUCAGUGUCAAUGCAUUGAAGGAUAUGAAUUGGGACCUGAGUCAGUGGUGUUCCCUUAUAUAUACCUUUUUCCCAAAGUUGCUAAACUUGUACACUUUGUUAAAGCUAAAAGUACACUUUAUGUUGUAGGCAGAUAAUGAGUUGCGUCUUGUACCUGGUGAUGAGUUGCGGCUACGCUAUUUAGGAGAUGCAACUCAUGCGGCAGUCAGUAGGGCAUGUGCCUCAGCUGCGAAGAACAAGGGGAUGGAUAAUUACAAACAGGGGAAGUAUGCUGAUGCCAUAAAGUGGCUUUCUUGGGCUGUGAUUCUUCUUGAGAAGACUUGUGAUGGUGCUAACCCUUGAACAAAUCAACUUGGCUGAUGUCAAGUACCCACUGGAGCAUUUUAAGAACAUCCUUGUUGUCUCAAAGUAUUACUGAAGGAUUAUCUUGGCGAGACUUGCUGAGCUGCUUUGUCUCAUUGUUUAGGUGACUUCCAAAAACGAUCAAGCACAAGGCUGAUGCUUCAAAACCAUAUAUAUUCCUUCCUGUUUUAGAAUUUUUUUUGGAUUCCUUCAUUGAUUUUGCUUUUAAUUUUUGUUCAAUUACUUACUGGUUUUCAAUGGAUAGAUGUUUAAAAC